GGAGGGGUGCAAGCGUUAAUCGGAAUUACUGGGCGUAAAGCGCACGCAGGGCGGUUUGUUAAGUCAGAUGUGAAAUCCCCGGGGCUCAACCUGGGAACUGCAUCUGAUACUGGCAAGCUUGAGUCUCGCAGAGGGGGGUAGAAUUCCAGGUGUAGCGGUGAAAUGCGUAGAGAUCUGGAGGAAUACCGGUGGCGAAGGCGGCCCCCUGGACGAAGACUGACGCUCAGGUGCGAAAGCGUGGGGAGCAAACAGGAUUAGAUACCCUGGUAGUCCACGCCGUAAACGAUGUCGACUUGGAGGUUGUGCCCUUGAGGCGUGGCUUCCGGAGCUAACGCGUUAAGUCGACCGCCUGGGGAGUACGGCCGCAAGGUUA
rnacentral:rRNA from 1 species